GGCCUUUCAAAUAUAGAGCUAUAUUUUGGUAUAAAAAAGGCAUGCACAAUAUAAAAAUAUAUUACAAUGUAUAUGUAUAUAAAAAUUAGUUAUAUGUUUAAAUAGCCAUGUAUAUAAUUGAAAGUGAAUCUAUAACAAAAGUUUGAUGAAUGAAAUCCAAUUGACCCACAGGCACACACUCAAUAAAAUGACUACAACAUAUGAUUAUGCAUUUUCCUUCUUUAUAACUGGCUACAGGUUUAUGUACAGUCUACCAUGAGCAGUAGUUGGUCACCAAGACAACACAUUGGAUUUCUAUCAUUGCUAGCAACUCAAUGAAACUAGUCCAUAAAAUCACUAUCUGGAUCUCUGGACUUGCUGGUUGUUUUUAAGGUCAAAUUUUUUAAAAAACCAGAACCAACAAAAAAAAAAAUAAAAAAAAAUUUACAAAAUAUGUUCACAUAUCAAAAGCUUUGACUAGAAUUUGUCAGUUCAAAGCAUCUGACUGCCAUUUUACCUAGACUCGUCGUAUUCAAUCUUCUAAACCUCAAGAAGUUAAGGAGACAUAUAUUUACUUCUUGUCUAGCCCAGUGACCUUACUGGAAUAGCUUUAAUAUUGAGCAGUUUUUGUUUCACAUUAUCUACAUAAAUAUCAAACACUCCAAGGGUAUAGAUAAUGAAAUGUUGCCAUACAAAACAUGAAUACAUGUAAGGAGUUAAGUGUUACAUGCCUAUAUAUUAAGUACAGAAUACAGUCAUAUAUUUGGUACACAAUUAAAACAAUACUACAGCCAUACAUUUGGUACACAAAACAAUACUACAUAGAUGGUCAACUUAUCUCUAACAGAUGAUGAAAGUGCAUAUCUUUUGUGUUACCCACAAUUAAUAUUUGACUAUGAAACAAGAGAAACCAAACAAAGAAAUCAACCAGUUUCGAUAGAUUGGUAAAUCAGCUAACUAAAACAUACACAUAUGCAUGUUAUACAGUAAAAAGUUCAACAUUCAUAACUUUAUAUAACACAGAGUGUACCUUUACAUCAACAUGUACACAGAUAAGUAAUAGUAAAGUCAAACAUAAUAGCACAGAAGGAUGUAAGCCAUGGAUACACAUGCAAUACAUGUUCAACACAUAAUGUGUACCACAUUAACAAAAAAAAAAAAACAAAUGAAAAAAAAAAGAAUUACUGGCUUGAUUGUGGAGAACUAUAUGCCCAAUGAUAAACACAAACUCCUAUAUAGUACUAUCUAAGCAAGCUAGAGUUUGAGAUUGCUUCUGAAUAGGACAGAACUUAAUAAAUUGAUUCGGAGAACACAAUGAUGUGGAAUUUGUUCAAAGUUGUUUGAAUUCCAGAUUGCUAUGAAUGUCAUUGAUCUUGUUCUUUUUAUUAGUAUGAAUUACGAAUAAUAAUGAAACUAAUGAAACCUACAUAAAUCAAUGAUUACUAACAUUUGUUCCAUAAAUCAUGGCUGAUACCUAAUGAGCUAACACUUUGGUAUACACUAAAGAUUAAACAGUAUACACUAAAAAUUAGAACAAUUAAGAUUAUGUUCAGAUAAAAAGUGAGACUAUUUUAAAAUAUUGUGUAAAUUAAAGAUUAAAUCUUUUUUUUUUUUUGUUUUC